CCUAGGUAACGGGGCGGAAUUCCACCUUAGAUCAAGUGGGCAGGGCUCCACCCUAGAAGGAGGGGGCGGGGUUCAACCCUAGAACGAGGAGGCGGGGCCCCACCCUAGAAUGAGUGGGCGGGGUUCUCUCCCAGAACUAGGGGACAGGACUCAACCCCAUCAAGGGAGCAGAGCUCCAGGGCAGGGCUCCACUGUAGGGCAAGGGGGAUGGGCUUGGAGCGGGACUCUGGGGACGAGGCUCCACUGUAGGCCCAGGGCGCGGAGCCGGGGCGGAGCAUGGGGCGGGGCUUCAUCCUAGAAUGAGUGGGAGGGGCUCGGCUGAUGCUGAUGGUGAGCGGGGCCUUACCGGCACGCGGGACCGCUCGUCUCCAGAACGCACUGGCCCUGGUGACAGUCGAUGGCGUUGUCCACGCCCGACGUGCAUUUGGUGACACAGCGGAGCCGGGUGGCCUCCACCAAGGGGAAGUAGAACUCUUCAUAGCCCGUGGGAGCGGCGCGGCGGCAGAUGGCUGGGGGUUGGGGAGGGGGAUGCACAGAGACAAGGACCUCAUCCAUUCUAUUCAGGGGCCUGAUAAUGGUGCCUCUGAAUAUGCGCGAGGAGGAUUCCAUUUCCGAGGGGGGGGUGCUGUGGGGUAGACCCUGGGAUUCGAUGAGGGGAGGCCACCCCCAGCACCCUCACCCUCUCCUCGUGGCCCCUGCUGUCCUCAGGUGGAAGCCACUAACCAGUGCCAGGAAGGGCCGCCCUGGGCCACAUGACUUGCCUCCCCCAAAGGUCUCUCCCUGCCCACAGGCUUCAAUGGGCAAAUGUCCCUGGUAGCCCGGAUCAUAGCCGCGGGAGACCACUCAGCCCUUUAGCCCACCCUCACCUUCCGGGGUCAGCUCUGUCUUGCUGUUGUUGUUCACCUUGACGGAGUCAGGCUUAAAACACAGGGCUGCGGAAACACAGGCACAGAUGGAAUAGGCGGGGCAGAUCAAGGGGUUAAGGUCAAGGGGUUAGUGCCAGGAGGCAGGAUAGGCACAGGGAGGGCAGUGAGGGCUCUCUCCGUCUGGGAGAGCCCUCUCCCAGAGGAGAGAGCCACAGGGGAAGACUCCUGUUGCCUGCCUCAUCUCCCCUGAAUAAUCCGAGGUCUUCAGCCAUCUGGGAAAUGCUGAGCAUGACAAUCAGGGGGUCUCUUUCCCAGUACCAAGGUCACGGGGAGACCCUCCCUAGCCCCACCCUUGACACCGUUGUGUGUGGACUUAUUCCCCUUCUCCCAACCUGCCAGAGGUACCACAGGGCUGGCACCUGAGCCCAGUGGCCCCCUGGCUGAGCUGGAGUGGGCUGGGGUGACACCUCAGGCCCUGGCCCCUCCCUCCAGCCCGGGCUCACUCUGGGAGUCCUGGCAGCUGUUCGCAUCCUGGCUGGCGUUCUGCAGCCCCUCCUUCAGCGUGGUCUUCACCUGCUCGUACUGGCUCUCCAGCUGGGGGCUGAAGGGCAUCUCCAGCAGGACCAGGGAUGGGUUCUCACUAUGUUGCCCAGGCUAGUCUUGAACUGGUUUCAGGUGAUCCACCCGCCUAGCCUUCCCAAAGUGCUAGGAUUGCAAGUGUAAGCCACCACAUCUGGCCUGACAUUCUCUUCUUGUUGCAUCAAGCCAUCAUCCACCGGGCACCCCUGGACGCGCGUUCUCUCCCUCUCUCUCUUUCUCUCUCUCUCUCUCUAAUGCUGACCCACUCAGUAGAGCAGGGGCCAGCCAGAGGGGGACAAAGUCAUCAAUUCAGGCACCACCUUCCCACAUGUCCCUGCAACUUCUCUCCUUCCAGUGUGCUGAAGAAGAGAGGUGCCACCCCUCCUCCAGAUAAAUGGCCCCAGAAAACGAUCCGAAAAAAUACCCAGGGAGUGAUUCCUUAUGUACCCCCUCCACCCCUCUCUUUAUAAAAUCCGAUGAUUACAAAAG
rnacentral:antisense_RNA from 1 species